rnacentral:lncRNA from 1 species
GGUAAACAAAGUAGGAUUCCACUGUCCCCGGACUACUCUCCAACAGUGGUGGGAAAACUUUAAUUUCCGCGUCAACCAAAAAUACCUGCAGCUCUUAAAACCAAAAGACGGUUGAGCAAUGAUAAGGCGCAGGAUGAUGCUGCUGCCACUGUCGCCACACUCCUUGGACGUGACGACAACCCCCCACAACGUGAGCCAAACAUACCAGCCAAACCCUGAGAGCCUUGACGUAGUACCCCCCCUGGUUAGCCCUCGCUUGACACCCCAAAUGACGGCGAAUGCAAAAGUGACAUCACACGCAAAGGGUCCAUAUUGUGUCGGCGUUCUGAGUAGAUGCUGGUUAAGUGAUCACCAUGGCUGCGGUACUCUUUAUUCCCAGAGGGAAACACCGGCUUACUGUUUGAAUAAUUGUUCCUCUCAUCCACCCUCUGAUUCCCAUCUUCUCUUCCUCUGUCUGUCUGUCUUUUUGCUACGUUUCUUCUUUCGCUCCCCCUCUUCGGUUAGGUCACAUCAUGGUGAUGAAUGUCGCCGAUCAUGUGAAUGGCUACGGCAAUAUCAAGGAUGAGGAGGAGAAGGAGCCGGUGGCUCUCGGCCUGCACCUCAACGCCUUCGACCGGCUGACAGGAAGUGACCCGUCGGCAGACCUGGAGCACAGUGUCCUCGGCGCCAGCUCCGCUUCCCACAAUGCCUCGUUCCAGGAGGUCACGUUCCCGACCAGCUUCAUAGACUCGCGCGGCGUGCCGAGCCAAAGCAGUGUCGACUGUGGUGUCCCCAGGGUCCAACCUCCCAACAUCAAUCCCCACCACCACCCUCCCCGCCUCCUCCUCCACGCUCCCCAGCAGCCCCCCCUACACCACCGGCCUCCGUCACCAGCCCGACGCCGCUGCGAGGAGCCGGCGCUGCGAGACACGGCGCCCCCUCCUAAGUUUCCUCGCACGCCUCGCUCCGUGACGGCGGCGGCGGCGGCGGCCCUCGCCAGACGGGAGCGGGAGCAGCGGGAGAGGGUGGAGGCCCUGGAGGAGGAGCGGGUGGAGAUGCUGGGGGAGCAGCAGCAGCAGCAGGAGGGGCGCAGGGAGCAGAUGGAGAGCCUGGAGUGGGAGCGGCGCAUGCGGGUGCUGGUGUGGGAGCAGGAGGUGCUGAGGGAGAAGGGCAGGGCGGCCCGGGAGAAGGCCCGGGCCUACCGCAUGAAGAGGAGGUACUACGGGGCCAAGCUGAAGAGGAUGGGCCAGGACGUCCCGCCGCCGCCGCCGUCGUCGUCGUCGUCCUCCGGCAGCGACCAGGACGAGUGGGGGAGCGGCGAGCGAGCGCCCAAGGAGGGGGCGAUUGUGUGA